AACAAAUAUAAAUUAUUUAAAACUUUCAACAACGGAUCUCUUGGUUCCGGCAUCGAUGAAGAACGCAGCGAAAUGCGAUACGUAAUGUGAAUUGCAAAUUCAGUGAAUCAUCGAGUCUUUGAACGCACAUUGCGCCCCCUGGUAUUCCGGGGGGCA
rnacentral:rRNA from 1 species